GCUGUCCACCCCAGUGACCCACGCCAAGUCCACAGUAGAGACGAGUACGAACGCCUUACCGGUUGUCGCGUCCAUCGACACUUCGGCGCAGAUAUGCGAUGACAGAUACACCAGUAGCUACCAGCUAGCCCACUGCCACGCCAGGCCGUCUUCCCCACCGGUGGAGCUGGCUGAGUUCCCGCCACAGCGGCCAGAGCCGUGCCGCAGUGACUCAAGGCAACUUUGAAAUCGGUGGCAUUGGCAGCGGCGAGACGAAGGCGUCCAUACAGACUGGUUCGCAUCAGCAGCUCAGGAACAGCUACACAUCUGUCGA